GAACGGGUGAGUAACACGUGGGCAAUCUGCCCUUCACUCUGGGACAAGCCCUGGAAACGGGGUCUAAUACCGGAUAACACCUGCCCGGGCAUCCGGGUGGGUUAAAAGCUCCGGCGGUGAAGGAUGAGCCCGCGGCCUAUCAGCUUGUUGGUGAGGUAGUGGCUCACCAAGGCGACGACGGGUAGCCGGCCUGAGAGGGCGACCGGCCACACUGGGACUGAGACACGGCCCAGACUCCUACGGGAGGCAGCAGUGGGGAAUAUUGCACAAUGGGCGAAAGCCUGAUGCAGCGACGCCGCGUGAGGGAUGACGGCCUUCGGGUUGUAAACCUCUUUCAGCAGGGAAGAAGCGAAAGUGACGGUACCUGCAGAAGAAGCGCCGGCUAACUACGUGCCAGCAGCCGCGGUAAUACGUAGGGCGCAAGCGUUGUCCGGAAUUAUUGGGCGUAAAGAGCUCGUAGGCGGCUUGUCACGUCGGGUGUGAAAGCCCGGGGCUUAACCCCGGGUCUGCAUUCGAUACGGGCUAGCUAGAGUGUGGUAGGGGAGAUCGGAAUUCCUGGUGUAGCGGUGAAAUGCGCAGAUAUCAGGAGGAACACCGGUGGCGAAGGCGGAUCUCUGGGCCAUUACUGACGCUGAGGAGCGAAA
rnacentral:rRNA from 2 species